GACGGUGCAACCUUCCGCCCCAUCGCGUAGCGCAAUAGCCAACACCGUAGCGUACCCACGAUGCUGACGGCGACCAAGCCGCUAGUAGGGGGCGCGUGUGCCGCGCCGUCGUCGUCGGCCCGGCGGAGGACGUUCGUGGUGCCCGAGGCUCGCCGGAAACCAGGCAAUGGCCGCCGCACCAGCGUCUCCAAGGUGGGCAGCACCAGCACCAGCACCACCACCACUACCACCACCACCUUGUCCGCCGACUCCAAUGGGGCGGCCGUUGGCACGGUAACCCGCCCGGACGUCCACGUCCAGGACCGCACGCACGCCACCGAGAUGAAGGCCACGGUGACGGUGCACAUGAGUAAGGCAGCCG
rnacentral:lncRNA from 1 species